rnacentral:snoRNA from 1 species
AAGGAUAUACUUUCAGGAAUCAUCUCUAUAGUAUGUUACUAGAGAAGCUUCUCUGGGGCUGGGGAUUUAGCUCAGCAGCAUAAGCACCUGCCUUGUAAGCAGGCAGUUGUGAGUUUGAUCCCUGGUACUGAUAAAAAAAAAAAGAGAGAGAGAGAAGCUUCUCUGAUUGUGUAGAGCACCAGAAGCCACGAGGAGGACGUGUAGUGUUCCCUCCUGAGUGUGAAGCCAGCUCUUGGUGUUGCUUGAGUGCAACUGCCACUUGCCAUUGAUGAUUGUUCUUGCUGUCUCCUCCGAGUUAGUGAGAGGGGAGGAACACAGUCUGAGUGGU